GUGGGGAAUAUUGGACAAUGGGCGAAAGCCUGAUCCAGCCAUGCCGCGUGUGUGAAGAAAGUCUUCGGAUUGUAAAGCACUUUAAGUUGGGAGGAAGGGCAGUAAGUUAAUACCUUGCUGUUUUGACGUUACCGACAGAAUAAGCACCGGCUAACUUCGUGCCAGCAGCCGCGGUAAUACGAAGGGUGCAAGCGUUAACUGGAAUUACUGGGCGGAAAGCGCGCGUAGGUGGUUCAGCAAGUUGGAGGUGAAAUCCCCGGGCUCAACCUGGGAACUGCCUCCAAAACUACUGAGCUAGAGUACGGUAGAGGGUAGUGGAAUUUCCUGUGUAGCGGUGAAAUGCGUAGAUAUAGGAAGGAACACCAGUGGCGAAGGCGACUACCUGGACUGAUACUGACACUGAGGUGCGAAAGCGUGGGGAGCAAACAGGAUUAGAAACCCGAGCAGUCC
rnacentral:rRNA from 1 species